rnacentral:rRNA from 1 species
AAGAAACCCCGGCUAACUCGGGGCCAGCAGCCGCGGUAAUACGGAGGGGGUUAGCGUUGUUCGGAAUUACUGGGCGUAAAGCGCGCGUAGGCUCCUCAGAGGGGUGGGGGUGAAAUCCCGGGGCUCAACCCCGGAACUGCCUCCAAAACUGCUAGUCUAGAGUUCGAGAGAGGUGAGUGGAAUUCCGAGUGUAGAGGUGAAAUUCGUAGAUAUUCGGAGGAACACCAGUGGCGAAGGCGGCUCACUGGCUCGAUACUGACGCUGAGGUGCGAAAGUGUGGGGAGCAAACAGGAUUAGAUACCCUGGUAGUCCACACCGUAAACGAUGAAUGCCAGUCGUCGGGUAGUAUACUAUUCGGUGACACACCUAACGGAUUAAGCAUUCCGCCUGGGGAGUACGGUCGCAAGAUUAAAACUCAAAGGAAUUGACGGGGG